UGAAUUUCGGGGUCAGAGGGUCGGUCGUGCCACCGGUACGUACUUCGACAUGAGAUUCCUACCUUCUGAAGAACCGUCAUGUCAUUAAUUUGGUGUGGCGGGGAAUCAGGACUGUUACUUUGAAAAAAUUAGAGUGUUUAAAGCAGGCUCGCGCUUGAAUACAUUAGCAUGGAAUAAUGAAAUAGGACGUUUGAUCCUAUUUUGUUGGUUUCUAGGAUUGACGUAAUGAUUAAUAGGGAUAGUUGGGGGCAUUAGUAUUCAAUUGUCAGAGGUGAAAUUCUUGGAUUUAUUGAAGACUAACUACUGCGAAAGCAUUUGCCAAGGGUGUUCUCAUUAAUCAAGAACGAAAGUUAGGGGAUCGAAGACGAUCAGAUACC
rnacentral:rRNA from 1 species